rnacentral:rRNA from 1 species
UACGUAGGGCGCAAGCGUUGUCCGGAAUUAUUGGGCGUAAAGAGCUCGUAGGCGGUCUGUCGCGUCGGAUGUGAAAGCCCGGGGCUUAACCCCGGGUCUGCAUUCGAUACGGGGCAGACUAGAGUGUGGUAGGGGAGAUCGGAAUUCCUGGUGUAGCGGUGAAAUGCGCAGAUAUCAGGAGGAACACCGGUGGCGAAGGCGGAUCUCUGGGCCAUUACUGACGCUGAGGAGCGAAAGCGUGGGGAGCGAACAGG